rnacentral:rRNA from 1 species
AUCCAGCCAUGCCGCGUGCAGGAUGAAGGCCUUCGGGUUGUAAACUGCUUUUGUACGGAACGAAACGGUCUUUUCUAAUAAAGAAGGCUAAUGACGGUACCGUAAGAAUAAGCACCGGCUAACUACGUGCCAGCAGCCGCGGUAAUACGUAGGGUGCAAGCGUUAAUCGGAAUUACUGGGCGUAAAGCGUGCGCAGGCGGUUAUGUAAGACAGUUGUGAAAUCCCCGGGCUCAACCUGGGAACUGCAUCUGUGACUGCAUAGCUAGAGUACGGUAGAGGGGGAUGGAAUUCCGCGUGUAGCAGUGAAAUGCGUAGAUAUGCGGAGGAACACCGAUGGCGAAGGCAAUCCCCUGGACCUGUACUGACGCUCAUGCACGAAAGCGUGGGGAGCAAACAGGAUUAGAUACCCUG